rnacentral:misc_RNA from 1 species
CCUCCUUUCUAAGGAUGAGUGAAAGUAAAAUUUCACUCUAAAUAAUAUACAUCGGUUAUGUUGACCGUCCUCAUUUCUCUUCUUAAAGUAAUGUUCCUUCUUGUAGGGCCGGUAACUCAAUGGGUAAAACACACCCUNGAUAAGGGUGGGGGUCCAAAGUUCGAGUCUUUCUCCGGCCCCCCAAAAACCUAAAUGGGGGGAUUAACUCCAUCUUGGAAAACCCCCUGAUUUGGC